AUUUAGACGCUCUUACUUCCUAUAAAAGGGUUUCUAUUACUUCGACACUCAUUCGUAUAGAAAAACAUAGAAACGAUUCAGUAUCCCUUAUAACUUUGAAUAGUAGACAAUAUGCUCAAAUUCUUGGUUUUCCUCCUGGUAAUCGGCGUCGCUAUAGCUGGAGUCAUUGACCAAGAAAAAGAUUAUUACCCAAAAUAUGAAUAUGUGCAGCCAGUAAAAAUCGUGAAAUAUCCUGUCCAAACUGUGAAGGUCAUCAGCGUUCCUCAGAAAUAUGUUGUACCACAUGAUUAUUCUUGUGAUUAUGACUGCUAGUAAUUUGUUUUACCUGUGAUUUAACAUAAAGAGUAAAAACAUUGUUAGAGCAUGUCUACGAAUUGCAUUGGUAGCAAAAAUAUAAUUGUAAUGUCUUUUCUUAAAUGAACAGAAUAAAAGUAAUAACAUACCGAG